rnacentral:lncRNA from 1 species
UACUGUUAAAGUUUGUUUAGGAGAUAGCUAGAGUUAUUUCGAUUUUCAGUCCCUGUGGAUACGAUACUCGACUUGCUAUUUCUGUGCUACAAUUACACUGUUUAGUUGCAGUUUUUGUUGCUAAGAAAUUAGUGAUCAACUUUUUGGCGCCGUUGCCGGGGACUGUUUUAGAAAUUGCUUUAAUAUUUCCGAUAGGACUUAGUAGUACUUCAGGCGUUUACUGUUUAUUUUUAUUUUUAUUUUUCUAAUUCUCGUUUUUUUUUUCAGGCACUGCAUACGAUGGCUACUAAUGAACAGAUUCGUGCUCUACAGGAGCAGCUGCAACAGCUGUUAGACGCUCAAGCUGCUAAAGAGGCUCAGAAACAACCAGCCAUCAAUGAAGCGUUCAUUCCGCAGUAUGUGUAUCAGGAGCCUCCACGAGUGAACGUUAACAACUUUGAGCUGAAAACGGGUUUGAUCACGAUGGUCCAACAGAGCCAAUAUGGUGGACAAGCGAUCGAAGACCCUAAUGCGCACCUGGCGCAUUU